rnacentral:rRNA from 1 species
UCGAGGAUCUUUCUCAAUGGGGGAAACCCUGAAGGAGCGACGCCGCGUGGAGGAUGAAGGUCUUCGGAUUGUAAACUCCUGUCAUUAGGGAACAAUUGUCGCCGAGUAACUGCCGGCGGCUUGAUAGUACCUGAAGAGGAAGAGACGGCUAACUCUGUGCCAGCAGCCGCGGUAAUACAGAGGUCUCAAGCGUUGCUCGGAUUCAUUGGGCGUAAAGGGUGCGCAGGCGGUGCCGCAAGUCGGGUGUGAAAUCUCAGGGCUUAACCCUGAAACUGCAUUCGAUACUGCGGUGCUUGAGGACUGGAGAGGAGACUGGAAUUCUCGGUGUAGCGGUGAAAUGCGUAGAUAUCGAGAGGAACACCGGUGGCGAAGGCGGGUCUCUGGACAGUUCCUGACGCUCAUGCACGAAGGCCAGGGGAGCAAACGG